GACGAACGCUGGCGGCGUGCUUAACACAUGCAAGUCGAACGGAAAGGCCCUGCUUUUGUGGGGUGCUCGAGUGGCGAACGGGUGAGUAACACGUGAGUAACCUGCCCUUGACUUUGGGAUAACUUCAGGAAACUGGGGCUAAUACCGGAUAGGAGCUCCUGCUGCAUGGUGGGGGUUGGAAAGUUUCGGCGGUUGGGGAUGGACUCGCGGCUUAUCAGCUUGUUGGUGGGGUAGUGGCUGACCAAGGCUUUGACGGGUAGCCGGCCUGAGAGGGUGACCGGCCCCAUUCGCCUUCGGGAGGCGCCCGUACCCCCUCCGGGGGGAGGGGGGGGGAAUUUACCCAAAAGGGCGGAGUGCGUUAUGAAGGACCCCGGGUCGGGAAACGCCGCCUUUGGGUUUGAACCCCUUUUCCCGUGUGACUACGCGUGGGGACGGGAAAUGGGUAAAGAACCACGGCUAACUUAGGG
rnacentral:rRNA from 1 species